CUCCUCUCUUAUUGUAACCCUCAGUUGUGCCAUCCAGCCCCACCAUGGCCUCAUCUACAAGCCUCCCCUCCAACUGCAGCAGCUCCUCGGGCAUCUUCUCCUUCUCACCAGCCAACAUGGUCUCUGCUGUGAAACAGAAGAGUGCUUUCGCACCAGUUGUCAGACCCCAGACCUCCCCGCCUCCCACCUGCACCAGCACCAACGGGAACAGCCUGCAAGCGAUUUCUGGCAUGAUUGUCCCUCCCAUGUGAAAGAAUUGCCUUGAAGAAUUUUAUUAAUGAAGAGGUUGGAUCCUGCUACGAAAGUAAUCUGACAUGAGUCCCAGAGUGGAACUUUUAACUCAGGCCUUUUUAAGAGGAAAUCACACAAUAACUGCAGAUUUUUAAACAAAGUCACCGACCUUGCAAAUACUGAGAUUGGAAAGGGGACCUGCCAGAGCGGGGUGUUGGAUAGAGUCGGACUCCCCGAGUGUCUGGGGGAUAUAUUUAUUCUGUAUUGAUAAAAAAAAGAACAAGCCCACCUUUUCUUUUUUUCUUUCUCUUUUCUUUCUUUAAGCUUAACUCUGCAACCAUUUGUCUUUUGUAAACCAUUAAGCUACACACAAGGGCCACUCUAAAUAAGACUCCAUGUUUUAAUUUAUGAUGUUUUUAAAGCUAUGUAAGGGGAGAAUGAAGUGGUGAUAUUUACAAAAAAAAAAGAAAAAAAAGAAAAAAGAAAAAAAGCUAAAAAGGAAAAAAAAAAGAAAAACAGGGAAAAAUAAAUUAAAAAAAAAAAAAAGCUCGUAAGGGACAGAAUAGGAGAAUGCCAGUUAGAUUUUUUAGAAAACUAAGGGUCGGCUUCUGCGCCUUAAAGCAUAUCAGUGGUAAUUAGCUCAGACAGUGCAUUUCCAAUAUCUAACUUAACACGCCAUCCCUUAGCAGUGCAAGCUUCUCUCUCUCUUUUGUAUGGUUGUCUUAAGUAACUGUGUAAAUAGGUGUAGCCUGGAAAGUUACCAAGCAACAUACAUGAUCAUAUUUUCCCUUGUACUCAGAAAAUCCAGUGCCUCUAGACAGAUUGUUUAAAAACGAACAAAAGAAC
rnacentral:lncRNA from 1 species